GGGUGUAUAGCUCAGUUGGUAGAGCAUCUGACUCUUAAUCAGACGGUCCCGGGUUCGAAUCCCUGUGCACCCACCA
rnacentral:tRNA from 8 species